UCAACUGGUUUUCUAUACAGUAAAAAAAGAUAUACCGAUAUCGCUUUUGUGUUAUAAUAAUAGCAGUACGUGACAUUUUCUGAAAAUGAUAAUGAAUUCAGUUUUAUAAAUAACUGACACAUUUUUGGAAAACUGUAAUACUGGUUUUCUGUUUACUAAUACUAGAACAUUCGUUGUGUUAAGUCACGUAAAACUUUGUAGCAGUUUAGUAUUUGGCGUAAAUAAAUAAGGAUUUAAAGAUUAAAAAUGAGUUUUGAAGAGUUCUUUAAAGAUAUUGAUUGUCUAACUGUGGCUUUGAGAGAGAAAUACCCUAACGACCCUGAUGUGCAGAAAUGGAAUGAAAUAUACUGCAAAAGAUACUAUGAUCUUCUCAUUCAACAUAUUUGGAAUCCAGACGAAUUUCAAAUACUUCAAGAAGAGAACACUAGAUUAAAACAAGAAUUACAGACUUUAAAACAAAGUACUUCUAAAACAAUGAUGUCGUCCGUAUCAAAACAAACGAAAUAUGAUAAAAUUAGAAAAAAUAUUCAACAAUCAUAUUCAGAAGAAAGAAGGUUAACUUGCGACUGUGAUUACUCUGGAGAACCAACGAUUGAUUUACGUAUUAAAGCUUUGGGAACGUAUGACAAAUUGAUCAGCUCGGAUAAACGGAAUGUAGUUUUAAAUUCCGCGAACAAAGGACAUGUUUUAAAAGAUUUAAAAAAACUAUCAAGAAAGGAAAAGAAAGGAUUUAUGGAUAUACUAAAAAAUCAUGGUUUCGUUUAUUCAUUAUCACAUUGCAAUUUUUAAUACGUUUAUAUGAUUUUGCAAUGACUCAUAAUAAAAUAUUACAUUGUGCUUUAUCUAUUGAGUAUAUUUGUCAAAAUUUUACAAUCAUUAAGAAAAUCUUUCAAGAAUUGACUUGGUGAAUACAAAUAAGUCACUCAACCGUAGGAUUAUAUUAUAAUCACAUGCACGAAUGAACAUCAUAAUAUUACGUUUUCUUGAAAUCAUUCAACCGUAGGAUUAUAUUAUAAUCACAUGCACGAAUGAACAUCA
rnacentral:lncRNA from 1 species